rnacentral:rRNA from 1 species
AGGCUGCAACUCGCCUGCAUGAAGCUGGAAUUGCUAGUAAUCGCGGAUCAGCAAGCCGCGGUGAAUACGUUCCCGGGCCUUGUACACACCGCCCGUCACACCAUGAGAGUCGGGAACACCCGAAGUCCGUAGUCUAACCGCAAGGGGGGCGCGGCCGAAGGUGGGUCCGGUAAUUGGGGUGAAGUCGUAACAAGGUAAC